GCAACUUGCUUUGGGUCCGUUUCCACGCUUUGGUCUUUCUCUCUUGGCAGUAAAUCUUGCUGCUCCUCACUUUUUGGGUUAGUACUACGUUUAUGAGCUGUCACACUCACCGGGAAGGUCUACAGCUUCACUCCUGAAGCCAGUGAGACCGUUAACCCACCAGGAGGAACGGGCAACUCAGACCGCGCCACCUUUAAGAGCUGUAACACUCACCGCGAAGGUCUGCGGCUUCACUCCAGAAGUCAGCGAGACCACGAAUCCUGCGGGAGGAACGAACUCCGACCGCGCCACCUUUAAGAGCUGUAACACUCACUGCGAAGGUCUGUGGCUUCACUCUUGAAGUCAGCAAGACCACGAACCCACCAGAAGGAAGAAACUCCGGACACAUCUGAACAUCUGAAGGAACUCGGGACACGCCAUCUUUAAGAACUGUUAACACUCACUGCGGGGGUCUGCGGCUUCAUUCCUGACGUCAGCGAGACCAAGAACCCACCGGAAGGAACCAGUUCCAGACAUACUGGGACCGUGUGGAUACGUCGGUAAACCUGACAUGCACAUCUUUAGGAGAUAGCUGGAGAAAACCCAUGCAGAUUGUGGGUUUAUCCCCAGCUGGGGAUAGAUUUUUUUUCCCCAUCAAUAUUGUAAAGAAAACUGAAUGAAUUAGUUAUUCAAGAACCAGCUGUACCUCUUACAUAGGGUUGUCCCGAGGGCUAUGAGAGAUCAUGUUUGUAAAGUGCCCAAGAAGCAGUGGCUACUAUUAUUACUAACUUGCUUUUUCUGUGCAGUAACUUUAUAAGAUAAAUUUUGCCACAGUUUUAUAGAUGAAGAGACUGAGGCAAAUGGAGGUCCCUUAAUUUACCAGAAGUCUUCUACCUUAAGAAAGACAAGACUCGGAUUCUAAUUUAAGUCAUUUUGAUACAUUCUACUCUCCCCACCACAGCAUAUUAAAUGUAAUGCACACUCAAAAAUACUGGGUUUUUUUUUUGUUUUUUUUUUUUGAGACAGAGUUUCGCACUUUUUGCCCAGGCUGGAGUGCAAUGGCGCGACCUUGGCUCCACCUCUUGGGUUCAAAUGAUUCUCCUGCCUCAGCCUUCUGAGUAGCUGGGAUUACAGGCAUGCAUCAGCACGCCUGGCUAAUUUUGUAUUUUUAGUAGAGAUGGGGUUUCUCCAUGUUGCUCAGGCUGGUCUCGAACUCCUGACUUCAGGUGAUCCUCCCACCUAGGCCUCCCAGAGUGUUGGGAUUAUAGGUGUGAGCCACUGCGCCUGGCCUGGAUUUCUCUAUUUGUUUAUGCGAAAUCGUCUACUGGCAUUACCAUCUCUCAAAACAUUUUCCUGGACUUUUAACUAAAGAUUUUUUCCAUUGUAAUGGGCACAAGUGCAAUUUCCCUUUCAUUUUAAGAGACUGUGAGAAGUAACAAAUCAGGUGAUGGUCUUGUUUUCCCAAGCUGCUACAGAGCUUCUGCAGCUCCAAGCAUGACCACUAUAUUUGGCUGCUUAAAAGCAUAACAAGGGCAGAAAUCAUAAAGGCUUUGCCCAGAGGGCCUUGAUUGUCCUUGCCUUCUUGUCCUUUGGUGAGAACUUCAUUGGUGGUGGCUCCAAAAAUCAGGAGACUUUCUGUGAUGAAUUCACCAUAAGAACGUGGGACCCAGCCUCCCUUGAAGGACGUCCUAUAUGAUGCCUGUUUCCAAGGGAAGAAGUAAAGUCAAGAAACAAGAUAUCCUCAAGCUACUCUUAGGAUCAGUGUCUGCAUAGAUCUGGCACACAGAAAUGCAAGGAAACAAUUUGUGCAAAGCAUUAAAAAAAAAAGGGGGGACCCUGAGAGUAUAACAAGUGCUCCUGAGAGAGGACAGACGGAGAGGACGCAUGGGCAGGGAUGGCCGCCCUGAGCAGCUGAUGUUCGAGCUAAGAUCUGAAAGGUGCAUGAUUUCCCACUUACCUCCCGCAACCACUACCACCCACGUUGUCCACAGUAUUCAGCUGUCUCAGGGAGGAUCACAAUUAUUCUAAUGGGACUGCAAAGAGUGAAGGACACAGCUUUUAACAUCAGAUUCGAAUCCUACAAUUUGGAACCCAUGGGCACUUCUAGAUUGGAUCUUGCAGAGAUUUUUUACAACAGAAAUAAUGGAAAGGCAAAAGAAAACAUUGAGUAAUAACCAACCCAAGCAAGUCCAGCCUCUUUCUGCAGAAGGCAAGUAGUUCUAAAUGAAUUGAAUAUUUGGCAAUUUUUUUCCAUCCACACUGUUUGACUCCAUUCUGGGCCAAAAUGAUCUGUGACUAAACACAGGCAAAAACAAAGUUUAUUUUUAAUCUGUCUAGCAAUGAGGGUAUUGGCUCAUCAUCCAGAGGAGAUGUGAAUUCUUAUCCUUUAUCUAAUCUUGAACACUCUCUCUCAUACUGGGGAGUGGUGACGGCGCAAUUUCUAGCACUGAUUUCCUAUUGAAACCGUGGUUUCCUUCAUUGUUUAUCAAAUUCUCUCCCGUCUUACCCUCAACUCCAACCAACCCGGAGUUUUUCGUCAAAGCCACUCUACUUGACAUACAUAUGAGCUUGACAAUAAAAUUCCUUGGAUAUACAUUGUGGAAGACGGGUGCAUUUUCCAUAUUUUACAUCAUAUUCUUGUUUUUGGAUCACCAAAAUAUGAUGUGUUAUAAUUUAGAAAUUCAUUUCCAUAAAUAAUUUAACUAUAGCUCUAGACUCAUGAAACUUGGAUAUAGGCCAGACAAGCGGCUCAUGCUUAUAAUCCUAGCACUUUGGGAGUCUGAGGCCGCCCGGGAGGUCAAGACUGCAGUGAGCCAAGAUCACAGCACUGUACUUCAGUCUGGGUAACAAAGCGAGACCCUGUCUCAAAGGAAAAAAAAAAAAAAAGGAACUUGGGUAUAAUUUAAGAUGGAGCGACAAAUAUGGGGUUUUACCUGGAGUCUCCUACACCAUGUGACCUUUCAAAUUUGGCCUUGCACAAAUCAUACUGGAAAGGUAUGUUUCAGAACUUUUUCCCUAGUCUUACUCAUCAAAUAUAUUUUCCCCACAGGAAUAUCUAGUGCCAUCAAAGUGGAUAAUUAACAUUCAAGGUGCUAAGACCAUGUCUACAUGAUGAAAAGUGUUUUGUAAAAGAAUAAAUGAGUGCAUUACUAAUGAAAGAUUUUUUUUUCCUUUACAAAAAGUCACUGAAUUAUGCUAUCCAGGCAGCCCACUGUCUGAUGCAUUGAUAAAUGGAGGAAAAGACAAUCACAUUAAGAACAUCAGAACAUCAUUUGCAAUUCUUAAAGUCGGUAUUCAGAAUCAACAAGCAGGGAACUUUCUCUUAAAAUUAGAGGUAAUAACCCACCCAAUUGAGUGGCAGCAAUGUGGUCAAUUGAAGACAGAAAAACAAGACCUAUUUUCCACAUUACGAACCUUUAGUCCAAGGAAGUGUUUUUCAAAUGAUGUUGGCUGAGACCCCGAGUAAUAAAUAUAUUUUACAUUGCAACACAAAUGCAAAUGAGUGUUGAAACAUCCAUAUAUAAUUGAAACAAAAGUUUCCAAAGUAAUGCUACUCUACUGUCUGCGAUGCACACGUAUUUUCUAUUGUAUUCUAUUUCACUUUAAAAAUAAAUGCUAGUUGCAAACCAUAAAAUUUAUACCCCUAAUGGGGGGGCUGUGGUCCACAGUUUGCAAAAACAGUUAUUUAGCAAUUAUAGUCAUCUAUACUUUUGAAAAAUGUAGCAGAUGCACUAAGAAACUUCCACAAAAAUAUGUAUUCAUAAGCUGAGUGAACUAAAGACCUCUUUAAGGAUACAGUGUGACAUAUGAUAGGGGCUCAAUAUAAAUUUGAAGAAAUAAUUAAAAGAACAUAGUAGAACAGGCCAGGCGUGGUGGCUCAUGCUUGCAAUCCCAGCAUUUUGGAAGGCUGAGGAAGGUGGAUCAUCUGAGGUCAGGAGUUCAACGUAGCCUGGCCAACAUGCUGAAACCCGAUCUCCACUAAAAAUAUGAAAAUUAGCCGGGCGUGGUGGCGCAUGCUGGUAAUCCCAGCUACUCGGGAAGCUGAGGCUGGGGAAUCGCUUGAUCAUGGAAAGGCGGAGGUUGCAGUGAGCAGAGAUUGUGCCACUGCAUUCCAACCUGAAUGGCAGAGCGAGACGCCGUUUCAAACAGCAACAGCGACAACAACAACAACAUAGUAGAAAAGAAGAAAAGAAGGAAAGAAGAAGAUACUGUGGAGAAGCCAUAACUGCAAGUGAGCAGAUAAGGCAACUGAAAUGAGCCUCAAGCAACUUAGAGGUGGCCUAGUUUUGGCAAAGAUUUUAGGCUGUUUAUAAAGCAAAAUAACAACUGGUAUGACUUUAAGUGCUAAAUAUUUUUGUAAAAAAAUAUAGUGAGGCCAGCACAGUGGCUCACACCUGUAAUCCCAGCACUUUGGGAGGCCAAGGAGGGCGGAUUAUCUGAGGUCAGGAGUUCAAGUAGUCUGGCCAACAUGGUGAAACCCGUCUCUACUAAAAAUACAAAAAUUAGCAGGGCGUGGUGGCCCAUGCCUGUAAUCCCAGCUACUCGGGAGGCUGAGGCAGGAGAAUUGCUUGAGCCCGGGAGGCAGAGGUUGCAGUGAGCUGAGAUCGUGCCACUGCACUCCAGCCUGGCUGACAGAGCAAGACUCUGUCUCAAAAAAAAAAAAAAAAAAAAAAUAGAAAUAGUGACCAGUUGAGGAAAGUUUAAAGCCUUUUGUGAUGAAUGGAUAUGGCUUUGAAUCCCAGAUUUUCCAGUGACCAGCUUUGUCAAUGUGGAAGCUUUUUCCACCACAUCUUGUGUGGUCUUUAAUAUUGGGGUGAUGAUAUCUAGCUAACCAGGUUAUGAUGAGACUUUAUAAUAAUAACACAUAGAAGGAACAUGAUAGGGCCUAAUAGGUAGCAAACGCUCAAGAAAUAAGAAAUCUUAUUUUGUGUGUUAGAUGUUGGUUGUUUUUUUUGUUUUACCCAACUCUGACUUUAGCUUUCUUUUAUGCUGAAUGAAUCUGCCUUUCAAAAUGUUGCAUCAGACACUAACAUACCUUCUCUGCCCAAAUUGUUAACUAGCAGAUAAUCAGGAUGACUCCACCUUUGUACCUGACUGAGGAACUUAGUGAACCCUGAAGAAAUGAUGAUUAAAGAGACAAUGAAGAGGCCAGGCGCAGUGGCUCAUGCCUGUAAUCCCAGCACUUUGGGAGGCCGAGGUAGGCGGAUCAUGAGGUCAGGAAAUCGAGACCAUCCUGGCUAACAUGGUGAAACUCUAUCUCUACUAAAAAUACAAAAAAUAAGCUGGGUGUGGUGGCACGUGCCUGUAAUCCCAGCUACUCAGGAAGCUGAGACAGGAGAAUCGCUUGAACCCAGGAGGUGGAGGUUGCAGUGAGCCGAAGUCGUGCCGUUGCACUCCAGUCCGGGUGACAGAGUGAGACUCUGUCUCAAAAAAAAAAAAAAAAAAAAAGGACAAUGAAGACAGGAGACAUUGGGCUGUGCCCUUCUAGAUAUGACAGGGAGCAAAUAAGCCAACUCCAGGUCAGUAUAAAAUCCUAGGUGAUCAUUAAAAUCACUUAAAUAAGCCAACUCCAGGUCAGCAUAAAAUCCUAGGCGAUCAUUAAAAUCACUUAAAAUUAAAAUCCUAGGUGAUCAUUAAAACCACUUCAAAAAGACAUGUUUUGGGAGCUAUGUGUUCAGGGAAACAGAGGAGAAAACAACUGGGACUCUAUGAGGUGCCAGGUUUGAAGCUGUAUGGAUGUGACUGAUGUCAGGUUUUCAUGAGCCCAGUGGAAAAUUUAGAGGCAGUAAACUGGGCAACUGGGGCUGUUGGUGCUUGAGUAAUGCUUGGGCAUCAAGAUCUCCAAACUGUGUGGCCGCACCUGUGGUCCUAGCUACUCAGGAGGCUGAGGUGGGAGGAUAGUUGGAGCCUGGGAGAUUGAGGCUGCAGUGAGCUGUGAUGGUGCCACUGUACUCUAGCCUGGGUGACAGAGCGAGACUUGUCUCAAAAAAAAAAAAAUCUCCAAACUGGACUCUCUCUCACUAGGGAUUUGUCUCUUUCUCCUCUCCUUCUCUUCCUUCCUAAUUAUCUCCUUUUCUUUAUUCACAAUAUAUAUAUCCUCAACUAUGGAUAAGUGUGCUUAUACUCAGCUAUAUUUUCUUUUUUUCCAGCUAUAUUGAUGUAUAAUUGACAAAUAAAAAUUAGAUAUUGUUAAGGUGUACAACAUAGUGCUUGACAGAUAUAUACAUUGUGAAAUAAUUACCACAACCAAGCAAGCUAGUUAACAUAUCCAUCACCUCAUGUAGUUACUUUUUUGGGUUUUUUUUUUUUUGGUGUGGUGAGAACACUGAAAAUCAACUCUCUUAGCAAAUUUUGAGUAUUCAAUGAAGUAUACUUGAAUAACACUGUAUACAAAUUCAAGUAUAAAUUCAAGUAUACAAUGCUAUUAGCUAUAGUCAUCCUGCUAUAUAUUAGUUCUCCAGAACCUACUCAUCAUAUAAGUUAACGUUUGUACCCUUUGCCCAAGACCGCCCCACUUCCUCCUCCCACCAGCUGCUGGUAACAACCAUUCUACUCUCUGUUUCUAUGAGUUUGACUUUUUUAGGUUUUGCAUAGAAGUGACAUCAUGCAGUAUUUAUCUUUCUGUGUCUGGCUUGUUUCAUUUAGCAUAACGUCUUGCAGGUUCAUUCAUGUUGUCGCAAAUGGCAGGAUUUCCUUAUUUUUAAAGGCUGAAUAUUCCAUUGUGUGUGAAAAUAUAUGAUAUCAACUGUAUUUUCAUAUAUGUGUCUAACUGGAUGGCCUCUUAAUAAACUUUAAAGGAUUAAAGAUUGUCAUUAGAGAAUUCUAAAUAAGGUGGUUUUAGGUUCAUAUUAUACAAUACAUGUAAUGUGCAUGCAUUAUGUCGACUCUUAUUAAAUUCUAAGUCCUACUCAAUAGUGUUGAGAGCAUUAAUGCACCCAAGAAUUUUGUUUUUUUAUUUAACUUAGUGAGAAAAUAUAACUUAAUAUAUAGCAAUUCACUUAGAUUGAUAUAGAAGUAAUUAACACCACAUUCUUAUUAAUAGAUUUCU
rnacentral:lncRNA from 1 species